GGGCGAGUGGUGAAAUUGGUAUACACAAGGGACUUAAAAUCCCUCGGCGCAAGCCAUACCGGUUCGAGUCCGGUCUCGCCCACCA
rnacentral:tRNA from 1 species